CCCUUAGAUGUCCUGGGCCGCACGCGCGUUACACUGAUGCAUUCAACGAGCUUAUAACCUUGGCCGAGAGGCCCGGGCAAUCUUGUUAACGUGCAUCGUGAUAGGGAUAGAUUAUUGAAAUUAUUAAUCUUGAACGAGGAAUUCCUAGUAAACGCAGAUCAUCAAUCUGCAUUGAUUACGUCCCUGCCCCUUGUACACACCGCCCGUCGCACCUACCGAUUGGAUGGUCCGGUGAAGCCUCGGGAUUGUGGUUCUUGCCGCUUUAUUGUGGCGUGACCGCGAGAACUUGUCUAAACCUUAUCAUCUAGAGGAAGGUGAAGUCGUAACA
rnacentral:rRNA from 1 species